GACGAACGCUGGCGGCGUGCUUAACACAUGCAAGUCGAGCGGUAAGGCCCUUUCGGGGAUACACGAGCGGCGAACGGGUGAGUAACACGUGGGUGACCUGCCCUCAGCUCUGGGAUAAGCCUGGGAAACUGGGUCUAAUACUGGAUAUGACUCCACGGUGCAUGUCGUGGGGUGGAAAGCCUUGUGCGGCUGAGGAUGGGCCCGCGGCCUAUCAGCUUGUUGGU
rnacentral:rRNA from 1 species